rnacentral:rRNA from 1 species
GACGAACGCUGGCGGCGUGCUUAACACAUGCAAGUCGAACGAUGAAGCGGGUGCUUGCACUCGUGGAUUAGUGGCGAACGGGCGAGUAACACGUGAGUAACCUGUCCUUUUCUUUGGGAUAACGGCUGGAAACGGCUGCUAAUACUGGAUAUUCAGGCUGCAUCGCAUGGUGUGGUUUGGAAAGGUUUUUUCUGGGAUUGGGUGGGCUCGCGGCCUAUCAGCUUGUUGGUGGGGUGAUGGCUUACCAAGGCUUUGACGGGUAGCCGGCCUGAGAGGGUGGUCGGUCGCACUGGGACUGAGAUACGGCCCAGACUCCUACGGGAGGCAGCAGUGGGGAAUAUGGCACAAUGGACGAAAGUGUGAUGCAGCGACGCCGCGUGGAGGGUGUAGGCCUUCGGGUUGUGAACUCCUUUUUCUCGCGAAAAAGGCACAGUUUUGGCUGUGUUGAUGGUAGUGGGGGAAGAAGCGCCGGCUAACUACGUG